CCUACGGGUGGCAGCAGUGGGGAAUAUUGCACAAUGGGGGAAACCCUGAUGCAGCAACGCCGCGUGAGUGAAGAAGUAUUUCGGUAUGUAAAGCUCUAUUAGCAGGGAAGAAAAUGACAGUACUUGACUAAGAAGCCCCGGCUAAUUACGUGCCAGCAGCCGCGGUAAUACGUAGGGGGCAAGCGUUAUCCGGAUUUACUGGGUGUAAAGGGAGCGUAGACGGCUGCGCAAGUCAGAAGUGAAAGCCCAGGGCUCAACCCCGGGACUGCUUUUGAAACUGUGUAGCUAGAGUGCAGGAGAGGUAAGUGGAAUUCCUAGUGUAGCGGUGAAAUGCGUAGAUAUUAGGAGGAACACCGGUGGCGAAGGCGGCUUACUGGACUGUAACUGACGUUGAGGCUCGAAAGCGUGGGGAGCAAACAGGAUUAGAUACCCUAGUAGUC
rnacentral:rRNA from 1 species